ACGCAAAUGUUGACAUAUAUGGAACUGAGACCAAUAGUCAAUAAAUUGUUGAAGUAUUUGAAGUUUUGAUGGGAUGCUUGUAUUUAGUCCGAUGCAUCU